rnacentral:tRNA from 1 species
GCGGAUGUGGUGGAACGGCAGACACGUAUGAUUCAGGUUCAUAUGAAAGCAAUUUCGUGAGGGUUCAAAUCCCUUCGUCCGCACCA